AUACAGAGGGUGCAAGCGUUAAUCGGAUUUACUGGGCGUAAAGCGCGCGUAGGCGGCUAAUUAAGUCAAAUGUGAAAUCCCCGAGCUUAACUUGGGAAUUGCAUUCGAUACUGGUUAGCUAGAGUGUGGGAGAGGAUGGUAGAAUUCCAGGUGUAGCGGUGAAAUGCGUAGAGAUCUGGAGGAAUACCGAUGGCGAAGGCAGCCAUCUGGCCUAACUCUGACGCUGAGGUGCGAAAGCAUGGGGAGCAAACAGGAUUAGAAACCCCAGUAGUCC
rnacentral:rRNA from 1 species